GACGAACGCUGGCGGCGUGCUUAACACAUGCAAGUCGAGCGAUGAAGCUUCCUUCGGGAAGUGGAUUAGCGGCGGACGGGUGAGUAACACGUGGGUAACCUGCCUCAAAGAGGGGGAUAGCCUUCCGAAAGGAAGAUUAAUACCGCAUAAUAUCAUUUUAAUGCAUGUUGAAAUGAUUAAAGGAGUAAUCCGCUUUGAGAUGGACCCGCGGCGCAUUAGCUAGUUGGUGAGGUAACGGCUCACCAAGGCGACGAUGCGUAGCCGACCUGAGAGGGUGAUCGGCCACAUUGGGACUGAGACACGGCCCAGACUCCUACGGGAGGCUG
rnacentral:rRNA from 1 species